rnacentral:lncRNA from 1 species
UUCCUUUCACUCUUACCCUGUUGGGCAAUAUAGACUAAUUCAGGAUCCCAAUGGAUCUACAUGUUUUUCCCUCUCAGAGUUGAUUUCACUGAGAGUAAGGUUUAAGUAAUACCACUUUGUGAUCUCUUCCUCUCCUUCUCAUAUGAGAGUUCUUCCCCUCUCGUCCCCAUGUGUAUCUUUGUAUGGGAAAGAUUAUUCUAUUUAGUCCCCCCUUGCCAUUUCUUGAAGUAAAUCUUAGUAUUGUCAAUGAUUUCCCCCCUCCCUUUUUCUUUCUUUGCCCCUCUUUCACCAAUUCUUCUUGAUGCCCCAAUCUUUCCCUUUACAUGAUUCUUCUAACUACUCUUAUGAUGCAUACAAUUUUUGAGAGUUACACAAUACAUUUUGCCCACAUAUUGAUAUAUAUAAUUUGAUGUAAAUGUAGUCCUUAUAUGAGAGGGUUUGACUUAAAGAAAAAGAUAAGAUUUUUCUCCUUUUCCCUUCCUUCCCUAUUUACCUUUUCAUGUUUCUCUUGCUUUCUGUGAUUAGAUAUCAAAUUUUCAACUAAGUUCUGGUCUUUUCUUAGUAAAUACUUGGGAAUCUUCUAUUUUGUUGAAUGUCCAUACUUCCCCCAGAACUAUAUAGUCAGUUUUGAUGGGUAGUUGAUUCUUGGUUGGAGACCCAGCUCUCUUCUCUUUCUAAUAUUGUGUUCCAUCCUUUGAGGUCUCUUAGCAUGUUAGCCUCUAAGUCAUGUGUGAUCCUUAUGGGGGCCCCUCUAUAUCUGAAGCUCCUCUUCUUGACUUCUUACAGGAUUUUCUCCUUUGCUUGGAAGCUCUUGAAUUUGGCGAUUACAUUCCUGGAAGUUGUCUUUUGGGGAUUUAGUAUAGAGGGUGUUCUAUGAACCCUUUCUAUUUCUAUUUUGACCCUUUCUCCAGAACAUGUGGGCAAUUUUCUUCUAUAAUCUCCUGUAGUAUAGCAUUUAGGUUUUUGUUUAUCUCUGGUUUUUCAGGCAGACCAAUACUUCUCAAGUUGUCUCUUCCUCCUCUGUUUUCCUGGUCUGUCACCUUGUUAGUGAGAUAUGUUAUGUUUUCUUCUAAUUCAUUAAUUUUUUGGCUUUGCUUUAUUAAUUCUUGCUGUUUUGCAAUUUUUUUUUUUUCUUCAGAAAAUCUAGCAGUUAAGAGUCAGCUUUUCACUCACCACACAUGUCAGUCCAAAGGAAGAGAUUUUAGUUUUUCUUUGAAAAAGUUUGUUUAA